CACGUAGGGGACGAGCGUUGUCCGGAAUCAUUGGGCGUAAAGCGCGCGUAGGCGGCCCGGUAAGUCCGCUGUGAAAGUCAAAGGCUCAACCUUUGAAUGUCAGCGGAUACUGCCGGGCUAGAGUCCGGAAGAGGCGAGUGGAAUUCCUGGUGUAGCGGUGGAAUGCGCAGAUAUCAGGAGGAACACCAACGGCGAAGGCAGCUCGCUGGGACGGUACUGACGCUGAGGCGCGAAAGCGUGGGGAGCGAACAGG
rnacentral:rRNA from 1 species